GCAGUAGCCGCGGUAAUACGUAGGGUGCAAGCGUUAAUCGGAAUUACUGGGCGUAAAGCGUGCGCAGGCGGUUUGUUAAGACAGAUGUGAAAUCCCCGGGCUUAACCUGGGAACUGCAUUUGUGACUGGCAAGCUAGAGUAUGGCAGAGGGGGGUGGAAUUCCGCGUGUAGCAGUGAAAUGCGUAGAUAUGCGGAGGAACACCGAUGGCGAAGGCAGCCCCCUGGGCCAAUACUGACGCUCAUGCACGAAAGCGUGGGGAGCAAACAGGAUUAGAUACCCCCGUAGUCCCUGUCUCUUAUAC
rnacentral:rRNA from 1 species